GGAAGGCUAGCCAGCUUAUUGGCAAAUUCUUGGAGGUCUCUCACCGAACUCCCAUUGGGGCCAGCUGCAUCCACCACAGCUUUGCUCAGAGCUUUGGCUUUCGCUCUCAGUUCAUCGGAGCUGAAAGACUCGGCGAUGACUUUCCCCAGUUGGUCCGAGUCCGGCACCGACUUCUCCCCAUGACACACUUGCACCGCCACUCCAACGUGAUCCACCAAAAUCUUUGAGUUCAUCAAUUGAUCCCCUUCCAUGCCCCAACCAAAUAUUGGAAUUCCACUCACUAAGCUUUCCAGUACAGAGUUCCACCCGCAGUGGCUCAGAAACCCUCCGACGGCUCGGUGGUUCAGUAUCGCCACCUGCGGAGCCCAUCUCCUCACUACGAUUCCACGAUCCGACACCCGAUCCUCAAACCCAAUUGGAAUUCCGUCGGACCCACCGACUGUUUGAUGAAUUG
rnacentral:misc_RNA from 1 species